rnacentral:SRP_RNA from 1 species
GAUGGGCACGGUAUCUCGUGCCUGUAGUCCCAGCUUCUCUGGAGGCUGAGGCAAGAGGAUAACUUGAGUCCGAGAGUUCUGGACUGUAGUGUGCUAUGUCAAUUGGGUGUCUGCACUAAGUUCAACAUCACUAUGGUGACCUUCCUGGAGCAGACCACCAGGUUGCCUAAGCCGGGGUAAAAAGGCCCAGGUUGGAAAUAGAGCAGGUCAAAACUCCCAUGCUGAUCAUGGGACCAUGAUCAUAGUGGGACCAUGCCUAGGAAAUAAGUGAGACCCUGUCUU